CCUUUUCAGAAAAAAAAAAAAUCAGUUCUCUUCCUUCUCUCCCUGCUGAGGCUUGAGAACUCUUCUAGGGCACAAUGGACUUCUCCUUAAGCCAGCUGGAAUCCUUCCGUUCACAAUUUUCGUGUUGCAGCUCAGUACUGUAGUUCCUGAAGCUGUAGUCCUCCAAGUUGUGAGCUUGUUCCUUUUAGCAUCCAAAAAGAUGGAAAGCACGUUGAAGGUGGACCUGAUAGUAACAGUGGUGCGGCGUAGAGAGUCCUGUCAUCUCUGGCUCUUGGGGAGCAUUUUUCUUUUAGGCAUCAAUGCCUUUUGUUUUUCAUAGCCCUAGAGGCUCCGUUUUGUGAAUGCUGAACCCCUGUAGUGCAUGUUUUGUUGGAGGCAUGUGUAAUAGAUAUGCCUCAUUUUCUUUAAGAAUUUCUUGGAUGACUGUAAUGGUAAAUCCUUAGGUGUACUGUUUCAUCUGAUAACUCUUAUGUUCCAUAUUAUGCGAUGUUUUGCUAAAUAGAUUGC